AACGAGGGGUAUUCCACAAAAAAUUAUCCUGAGGGAUGAAAUAUUCCGAAGGCGAAGCCCGAGGAAUAUUUCAUCCCGCAGGGUAAUUUUUUGUGGAAUACCCCGA
rnacentral:miRNA from 1 species